AUCCGGCAGUGGAUUGAUCAAAGUGUGUUCCACCAUGUUUCGCAGGAGACGGAUGCUCACACUUUAUGGACAACACUAGAGUCUAUGUACGAGAAGAAGAAUGCACAAAAUAAAACUUUUAUCAUUCGAAAAAUUGUGAAUUUAAAGUACAAGGACGGGAGCAGUGUGUCGGAGCAUAUGAGUGAGUUCCAAGGAUUGGAGAACCAGUUGUCCACCAUGAAGUUGAAUCUUGAUGAUGAGAGUCAAGCUCUUUUGCUUCUCAGUUCGUUGCCAAACAGCUGGGAGACUUUGGUGGUGUCUCUAAACAAUUCAGCUCUAGAAGGAAAAAUGACUAUGCAUCUGGUCAAGGACAGUCUUCAUAAUGAGGAGACUAUGACGCCCCCAAAUCCGGGUUAUCUUUAACUCGGGUUUGGUGCUCACGAUUCUAGAAUACCCAUUCGUACUAAAAUAAAACUGUCUUAUAUUACAUAAACAUCGAACUUAAAAUCUCAGGUUCUAGAGACACCUUUACAUACAAUACAAACCAAAUAUUAAUACAACAUAGUACUAACAGUAUUUAUUACAUUUGCUUUUUAAGUUCAUUUAAGCACAGGCGCUUAAUAAAUAACUACUCAACAACUUUGCCUUUUCUUUUGUCUUUUCCAGAUGGACCAGCAACCUCAGUUUUAACUGAAAACAUUAUAUUUAACGCAAGGGUGAGCAACAAGUUUGCCCAGCAAAGAAAUAAGCAGCUAAAUAUAAUGGAACAAAAAUAUUACAGUAAUGAGGAUAUCAUACAGGAGGUAUAGAACAAAGUAAUUCUUAAGAGUGUUGAGUCAAAAGUUAGGAUUUAUCAUGCUGUAAGGUCAAAUGACCAGUGAACUCUAUACUAGAAUUUACAGUAAUAAUACUGCAAUCCAUGAAUACAAACAAUUAUAAAUGUUGUCGUAUAUCCUAGACUCGUACUUCAGGGAAUCAGCCUAAGUACCCUAUAUUGUGCACAACAUAACAGACUAAUAACACUUUACAUGUCCUUCGGAAUCAUAUGUCCGGUACAAUAUGCACCUAUAAAAGGGUAGUUCGUUCACAGCAUUAUAUAAGAAUCCAUACCACAAUAACAAAAUGGUUUGGAAAGCAUUAACUGAUAAAUUCAUGAACAAUAUCAAUAUAUUUCAACAUUUGUCUAACCGAAGUAAUGGUAUUGACAUACUUUCAAUAUAACUUUAUUCAAGAUAGAAAAGUUGAUAUACUAUUCUUUUGAAGCUGAUUGGAAUAAAAAGGCUAUUUAACCAUAUAUUCUUUUGAAGCUGAUUGGAAUAAAAAGGCUAUUUAACCUUAUAUUAUUCAUAAAUAAGGACAGACAGUUCAGAAAUUAAAGAACCUGUCCACUGCAGAAUAAUUUCCCAAUAAAGAGUAAGGGUUAGAAACUUGCCUUGUUUGUAGUCUAUUGCUUAGGAUUUCAGCUUAAUUUGAAGUGUUCUCACAAAAUCCUACACAGUUAUUUAUAUUAACAAGCAUGUUAAUCACAUAGCUAAGUUAUAUAGUUUGUAAGCUCACAUAGUUUCAGUGAUCAUGGUUGUUGCUAAAUUCUUAUUUUUGAUACAUUUUUCAAAUAUCUCAUCCAUGCUUCCAAGAGAUAAUUUUCACUUUGAUGGGUUUCAACAAGUUUUCAACAAGUAAUAGAAAGCACAUUACAGUUAUUAUUUAUUUUAACCAAGCAUGUUAACCAUAUAGCUAAGUCAGAUAUCAUGUAGUUUUAGUGAUCAUGGUUAGAUUUCCUAUAUUUGAUAUAUUUUUCAAAUAUCUCAUCCAUGCUUUUAUCACUACUAUUUUUCUCUAUAAUGGUGUCACACCCAACUUAUAUUGCUUACACCUUAUUAGGAUUUUAACACUUUAAUGGUGUUCAACAUGCUUAUCAAUUAAAAUUUUCUUAUUUCUAGCCACCUCGGUUCAUUCCAACAGUUGAACUUAGUUAGCUAUAUAAUUCAUAUAUGUUCACCUAUUACACUUGAAAUUAGUUCACAUUAGUUUCCACUAUGCCCAACAAGUCCAACACUGCAUUAGUAGUUAGCUGAGGUCACCUAUUAUAGCUAACUACUAGCAGCCCUAUGAUUUCCCCUUUUUUCCCAUCUUCAUUCUUAAUUUGUAAAUGUAUUAUUAAUUCUACAUAUAUGUUUUCAACACAUACUUAAGCUAUACCUAAUGAUUAGCUUCUUAGAAAUUUCUAUUUUCAACCAAUAUGGUUACCUAGAUUGUUUUAGCAGUCAAAAUAUAUCAACUGCUGCUGCUCAAAGGCAGCAGCCAUAAACAUCUUGGCCUUGCUUAGCUUAUAGCUUUCCUUUACAAUUUUAUCUUACUAACUGCAGCUAACAGAGAAUAAUAGGAAGCAUGCCCAGUUCAAUAUUCCACAGUCUUCUUGUUGCUUUUCUAUGCUAGCAGCCAAGCUUGGCUUGGCCUUGUGAGGCUCAGGCCCCUAAGUCAAACAUAAAGCUGCUAUUGCAGCUGCUAAUUUUGGCAACUGCUGCCACACUAGAGUAGCAGUUCGGCCAAUCUUCUUAAUCCAACUAUCUCAUUAAUAUUUUCUACGUAUGAAUGCACUGUGCCAACUGCUACUGUUGUCACUGCUAUUAAGGACAUCAGUCCUGUUUCCCCUAUUCAACUCUCCUUCUUGUAACUUUAUAACUUAUGUUAUGCAACUUUACUUAAGCUCAAGUUUUAGCAUAAUUUUUUUUAUAAUUUAGCAGUCUAUUAAUAAGAAUGUUAAGCCUUCUAAAUCAUGAUUUCCAAGUUACCUAAACUACCAGCAAUUUGCUGCUUUUUAUCACUGAUGUCCGUGAGCAGCAAUUUCCUCCCCUUCCUUGCUUAUUGGUCCAGCCAUUAACUCAUCCUAGCUGGCCCUGCAGCACAACAUAACACAGCAGCGUGCGCUGGCUGCUGCUAUCUGCAGCAGCCCAGCCAGUCCUCCCCCUUUCACAGAUCCUGUUUUAGCAAUUUGAAUAACCUUUGCUAUAUAGGUUUAUUUGCAACCAAUUUUAGAUAUAUUACAUAUGGUAUAUGAAAAUGUUUUUAGCAUUUAUAACACCUCCAUUUCAGUCUUAAUAGGCUGCCCAAAACAGUGCUCGACAUGCUAAUUUUAUUAAUUCUUCUUUAACUCAAGACUGAAUUUUAUUUCAUUCUAAGAGGCUUAACUUGCUAAUUAACAAUACAAGUAAUACAUGAAUCAAUUCCAGCCUUGUUUGUGUCUAAUACCUGACUGUUAACUUAAGCAGUCCACUUGGGACUUUCGUCGAGCAUGUGGUGUGCAUGGUUUCAGUUUACUAGUGCCAUAGCAAUUUGCUUGUUUUAGAAAGCCAACUUUAUCAUCCUUAUUACUCCUCAGCCCAACUUAACUCCUUGUGCCUAGGUUCAGUCCAUACUAUCUUAGCCAUAGCAUAGCAGUCAACAACAACUUAAUAUAUCAACACCUAUCAUGUUAAUAGUCAAUUAUGAUAGCAAUAUAGCAUGUCAUUCAGUUAGAUCCUACGGCAGCUUGCAUAAUAGCUCAAAAAUCCAUAUAACAGUCCUUAUAGCAUUGUCAUAGCACAGUAAUGAAUUUAAGACAUAACAGUCUCUCAUGCCCAUUCCAAGCUUUUUAGGCAAGGUUUUGACAUUAAAUCACCAAAACAGCCAUGAGGUUUACAACCCAAAGGUUUCCACAUCCUGUUUAUGCUAUAUAAUAUAUGUUGAUGCUUUAAAGAGCCUACAUACCAGGCUUUUAACUUUAGUUAAACACAGCCUUUCAUAGGCUUCAAUUUAAUGCAAAAAGCAUGAUUCAGAAAAAUCUUAGUUACCAACACAACAUGAUUAAGUAACAGGUAAACCAAAAUUGGUUAUUUACAUAAUAUCUAGUAGGUAUUUCUUUCAUCCGGAUGGUCUAUUUUAGUUACUUCUUAGACAGUCCAAGACCACACCUCUUUAGACCUUAACAUAUUGUGAAACUUUAAAGUGUCCACAAGAGUAGCUUUUAAAGUUUGAGGUAGUUAUCCCCAGUUAUAAUGCAGUAAGUAUUCUACAGACACUUCAUAAAUAUCAUAAGAAAAGCUUCUAAUAUCAGUCAUAAGGAAGCUUACCAAUUCAGUCUAUUCUUACUUGCCUUGUCCAAGUGUUUAUCUAUCUUAGUUUGUCAUUUAUUUUGAGACAUGUUAAGGUCAAGCCUAGAGUAUACUUAUAAGCAAUUUGAUACUAGUUUGGAUUCUAAAUCAUGGUUAAUAUUCAAAGUUACAAAAUCAGGCCUUAGUUCGGCAAUUCAUCAAACAUGUAGAGGGCAGUGUAAAUUCUUGUACUUAAAACAUAAUUUCUAACCCUCUGCCCCCAGCCGUAUGGCUUAAACAAUAUCAAGCAUAAGACCAAACUUAUCAGUACCAAACCCAGCAGUUCAAAUACAUGAAAGCAGUCAUUAUAUUAAGUUACCAUAACAGUCAUACACGUUUUCUGGUCAUUGACAGUUCAGUUUGCUAAUUAAUUCAAUAGCCAUCCUGUUCAUUUAUCAGUUCAGUUGCUACCCGGAAUGGAAAGAUUAGAAAGGCCAGAAUUGGCUUACCUUGCUGAUUCGAAGGUGUCAAGUGGGUUGAGCUACUCAAUUCCUUUUCCCCUCUAGCCGAACUCUUCACUCUUGCUCUAUAUGACCGUUGCUGCUAAUUCUUUUGAACCCAGUUAAGUGAUGAGGCUAAUUGGUUUUGGGUAAUAACUUGGCCUUUUUAUGGCUGAGUUUAACUUCUUUACUGUGGAUCACAUCACCUCUAGUUGGCCCCUACCCAACCCUCAUCCUAGUCUAGCUUGCACAGCCCCCUUCUCAGCCACCAUAGGUUGUCUGCUACCUUAUCUUCUGCAAGACUACUGACCUGUUUUGUCUGCUAACCAAGUUCACUCACCUGCCAACCAAACUAACUUAGAGUCUGCAAAAUCUGCUAAUCACCUGACUAAUGUAACUAUCUCAGCUAACUACCUUCCUAUUUGGGCUGUUACAUGAAGCUUAAGGAAGGCUGGCUUUAAAUUGCUACUAGUAUUUGAACAAAGAUGAUAGAAAAAUCUAAUUCACACAUAUUAGAUAAGUAAUAGCUCUUUAUACCAAAUAAUAAAAGGUUUGCAAGCAUAUACUUGGGUUGGCCCAAGUUAAGAAUAGUGGUCUUUU
rnacentral:lncRNA from 1 species